rnacentral:SRP_RNA from 1 species
GCCGGGCGAGGUGGCGGGCGCCUGUAGUCCCAGCUACUCGGGAGGCUGAGGCAGGAGGAUGGCGUGAACCCGGGAGGCGGAGCCUGCAGUGAGCCGAGAUCGUGCCACUGCACUCCAGCCUGGGGGACAGAGCUAGACUCCACCUCAAAAAAAAAAAAAAAAAAAAAAUUUCUUAGAAAGUUCUUUUUUUUUUUUUUUUGAGACAGAGUCUCGCUCUGCCGCCCAGGCUGGAGUGCAGUGACUGGAUCUCAGCUCACUGCAAGCUCCGCCUCCCGGGUUCACGCCAUUCUCCUGCCUCAG